UGGCGGACGGGUGAGUAAUGUCUGGGAAACUGCCUGAUGGAGGGGGAUAACUACUGGAAACGGUAGCUAAUACCGCAUAACGUCGCAAGACCAAAGAGGGGGACCUUCCGGCCUCUUGCCAUCGGAUGUGCCCAGAUGGGAUUAGCUAGUAGGUGGGGUAACGGCUCACCUAGGCGACGAUCCCUAGCUGGUCUGAGAGGAUGACCAGCCACACUGGAACUGAGACACGGUCCAGACUCCUACGGGAGGCAGCAGUGGGGAAUAUUGCACAAUGGGCGCAAGCCUGAUGCAGCCAUGCCGCGUGUAUGAAGAAGGCCUUCGGGUUGUAAAGUACUUUCAGCGGGGAGGAAGGCGAUAAGGUUAAUAACCUUGUCGAUUGACGUUACCCGCAGAAGAAGCACCGGCUAACUCCGUGCCAGCAGCCGCGGUAAUACGGAGGGUGCAAGCGUUAAUCGGAAUUACUGGGCGUAAAGCGCACGCAGGCGGUCUGUCAAGUCGGAUGUGAAAUCCCCGGGCUCAACCUGGGAACUGCAUUCGAAACUGGAUACAGGCUAGAGUCUUGUAGAGGGGGGUAGAAUUCCAGGUGUAGCGGUGAAAUGCGUAGAGAUCUGGAGGAAUACCGGUGGCGAAGGCGGCCCCCUGGACAAAGACUGACGGCUCAGGUGCGAAAGCGUGGGGAGCAAACAGGAUUAGAUACCCU
rnacentral:rRNA from 1 species